rnacentral:rRNA from 1 species
AUUGAACGCUGGCGGCAUGCUUUACACAUGCAAGUCGAACGAGUGGCGAACGGGUGAGUAAUAUAUGGGAACUUACCGAGAAAUGGGGGAAACUCAAUCGAAAGAUUGGCUAAUACCGCAAAUUAUUCGAGCGGCCGAUAACUGAUUAGCGAGUUGGUGGGGUAAAGGCCUACCAAGGCGACGAUCAGUAGCGGGUUUGAGAGGACGAGCCGCCACACUGGGACUGAGACACGGCCCAGACUCCUACGGGAGGCAGCAGUGGGGAAUUUUGGACAAUGGGGGCAACCCUGAUCCAGCCAUGCCGCGUGUAUGAAGAAGGCCUUCGGGUUGUAAAGUACUUUUGUUAGGGAAGCGGUACCUGAAGAAUAAGCACCGGCUAACUACGUGCCAGCAGCCGCGGUAAUUC